rnacentral:rRNA from 1 species
CCCUUAGAUGUUCUGGGCCGCACGCGCGCUACACUGACGAAUGCAACGAGCUUAUAACCUUGGCCGAAAGGUCUGGGGAAUCUCCAAAUUUCGUCGUGAUGGGGAUAGAUUAUUGCAAUUAUUAAUCUUCAACGAGGAAUGCCUAGUAAGCGCAAGUCAUCAGCUUGCGUUGAUUACGUCCCUGCCCUUUGUACACACCGCCCGUCGCUCCUACCGAUUGAAUGGUCCGGUGAAGCGUUCGGACCGUGGCCUUUGGACGGUUCGCCGUCUGUUGGCUGCGGGAAGUUCGUUAAACCUUAUCAUUUAGAGGAAGGAGAAGUCGUAACA